rnacentral:piRNA from 1 species
UCUAAGUUUGGUGCGAUCGCAGUUUCGGUU